AUACAUGCAAGUCGAACGCGUCUUGGUUAAAGAUUUUAGGUGCUUGCAUUUAAAUGAUUUAACAUUGAGACGAGUGGCGAACUGGUGAGUAACACGUGGGUAACCUGCCCUUGAAGUAGGGGAUAACACUUGGAAACAGGUGCUAAUACCGUAUAACAACUCAAACCACAUGGUUUGAGUUUGAAAGAUGGCUUCGGCUGUCACUUUAGGAUGGACCCGCGGCGUAUUAGCUUGUUGGUGAGGUAACGGCUCACCAAGGCAAUGAUACGUAGCCGACCUGAGAGGGUAAUCGGCCACAUUGGGACUGAGACACGGCCCAAACUCCUACGGGAGGCAGCAGUAGGGAAUCUUCCACAAUGGACGAAAGUCUGAUGGAGCAACGCCGCGUGAGUGAUGAAGGGUUUCGGCUCGUAAAACUCUGUUGUUGGAGAAGAACAGGUGUGAGAGUAACUGUUCACAUCUUGACGGUAUCCAACCAGAAAGCCACGGCUAACUACGUGCCAGCAGCCGCGGUAAUACGUAGGUGGCAAGCGUUGUCCGGAUUUAUUGGGCGUAAAGCGAGCGCAGGCGGUUUUUUAGGUCUGAUGUGAAAGCCUUCGGCUUAACCGGAGAAGUGCAUCGGAAACCGGGAGACUUGAGUGCAGAAGAGGACAGUGGAACUCCAUGUGUAGCGGUGAAAUGCGUAGAUAUAUGGAAGAACACCAGUGGCGAAGGCGGCUGUCUGGUCUGUAACUGACGCUGAGGCUCGAAAGCAUAGGUAGCGAACAGGAUUAGAUAC
rnacentral:rRNA from 1 species